rnacentral:lncRNA from 1 species
CAGUGGCAAUGAAAUGGAGAGGGUAGCUUGUGCUACAGCUAUUUGCAGAGCCUCAUCAGAGUGGGGAUUCUUCCAGGUAGUGAACCAUGGUAUAAGCCCUGAGCUACUCCGGAAUAUGAGAAGAGAGCAAGUGAAGUUGUUUCAAGCACCCUUCCAUAAGAAGGCUACUUGUGGACUUCUGAACAAUUCAUAUAGAUGGGGAUCCGAAAAGGCUACCUGUCCGAAGCAGUUCUCCUGGUCUGAGGCUUUCCACAUUCCUCUCACCAAAAUUUCAGAAGAAUCUUGCUAUGGGGAAUUUACCUCUUUAAGGUACCAGCUUUUCUCUACCAAUGCAAUUUCCUUCACAAUUUGUCUGCUUGCAGGAAUAAAAAAUCAUGUCAAGUACGUCAUUCCAGGAUUUAAAAAUUGCAUUUAAUCUAUUUCCACGAACUUGUACUAAAAUGUAGUAAAUCAACAGGGAAG